UAGGGAAUCUUCGGCAAUGGACGAAAGUCUGACCGAGCAACGCCGCGUGAGUGAAGAAGGUUUUCGGAUCGUAAAACUCUGUUGUUUGAGAAGAACAAGGACGUUAGUAACUGAACGUCCCCUGACGGUAUCUAACCAGAAAGCCACGGCUAACUACGUGCCAGCAGCCGCGGUAAUACGUAGGUGGCAAGCGUUGUCCGGAUUUAUUGGGCGUAAAGCGAGCGCAGGCGGUUUCUUAAGUCUGAUGUGAAAGCCCCCGGCUCAACCGGGGAGGGUCAUUGGAAACUGGGAGACUUGAGUGCAGAAGAGGAGGGUGGAAUUCCAUGUGUAGCGGUGAAAUGCGUAGAUAUAUGGAGGAACACCAGUGGCGAAGGCUGCUCUCUGGUCUGUAACUGACGCUGAGGCUCGAAAGCGUGGGGAGCAAACAGG
rnacentral:rRNA from 1 species